rnacentral:rRNA from 1 species
AUAUCAAUAAGCGGAGGAAAAGAAACCAACAGGGAUUGCCUCAGUAACGGCGAGUGAAGCGGCAACAGCUCAAAUUUGAAAUCUGGCUCUUUCAGGGUCCGAGUUGUAAUUUGUAGAGAUGCUUCGGCGUCGAGGCUCCGGUCUAAGUUCCUUGGAACAGGACGUCAUAGAGGGUGAGAAUCCCGUAUGUGACUGCGGUGCCCUUCGCCUAUGUGAAGCUCCUUCGACGAGUCGAGUUGUUUGGGAAUGCAGCUCUAAAAUGGGUGGUAAAUUUCAUCUAAAGCUAAAUAUCUGGCCAGAGACCGAUAGCGCACAAGUAGAGUGAUCGAAAGAUGAAAAGCACUUUGGAAAGAGAGUCAAACAGUAC